UCGAGCGAUCAAUAGGAGCUUGCUCCUGUUGGUUAGCGGCGGACGGGUGAGUAACACGUGGGCAACCUGCCUGUAAGACUGGGAUAACACCGGGAAACCGGUGCUAAUACCGGAUAAUCUUUUUCCUCUCAUGAGGAAAAACUGAAAGUCGGUUUCGGCUGACACUUACAGAUGGGCCCGCGGCGCAUUAGCUAGUUGGUGAGGUAACGGCUCACCAAGGCGACGAUGCGUAGCCGACCUGAGAGGGUGAUCGGCCACACUGGGACUGAGACACGGCCCAGACUCCUACGGGAGGCAGCAGUAGGGAAUCUUCCACAAUGGACGAAAGUCUGAUGGAGCAACGCCGCGUGAGCGAUGAAGGCCUUCGGGUCGUAAAGCUCUGUUGUUAGGGAAGAACAAGUACCGGAGUAACUGCCGGUACCUUGACGGUACCUAACCAGAAAGCCACGGCUAACUACGUGCCAGCAGCCGCGGUAAUACGUAGGUGGCAAGCGUUGUCCGGAAUUAUUGGGCGUAAAGCGCGCGCAGGCGGUCCUUUAAGUCUGAUGUGAAAGCCCACGGCUCAACCGUGGAGGGUCAUUGGAAACUGGGGGACUUGAGUGCAGAAGAGGAAAGCGGAAUUCCACGUGUAGCGGUGAAAUGCGUAGAGAUGUGGAGGAACACCAGUGGCGAAGGCGGCUUUCUGGUCUGUAACUGACGCUGAGGCGCGAAAGCGUGGGGAGCAAACAGGAUUAGAUACCCCUGGUAGUCCACGCCGUAAACGAUGAGUGCUAAGUGUUAGAGGGUUUCCGCCCCUUU
rnacentral:rRNA from 2 species